GAUUUAGGGCUUAUCUAGAGAGUGAA
rnacentral:piRNA from 1 species